rnacentral:rRNA from 1 species
UACGUAGGGUGCGAGCGUUGUCCGGAAUUAUUGGGCGUAAAGAGCUCGUAGGCGGCCUGUCGCGUCGGAUGUGAAAGCCCGGGGCUUAACCCCGGGUCUGCAUUCGAUACGGGCAGGCUAGAGUUCGGUAGGGGAGAUCGGAAUUCCUGGUGUAGCGGUGAAAUGCGCAGAUAUCAGGAGGAACACCGGUGGCGAAGGCGGGUCUCUGGGCCGAAAUUGACGCUGAGGAGCGAAAGCGUGGGGAGCAAACAGG